rnacentral:rRNA from 1 species
UACAGAGACCUCGAGCAUUAUCCGGAUUUAUUGGGCGUAAAGCGUCCGCAGGUGGUUUGGCGUGUCAGGGGUCAAAACCCAGGGCUUAACCCUGGGAUUGCCUUUGAAACUACCAAACUUGAGGACGGAAGAGGCAAGCGGAAUUGCAGGUGUAGUCGUAAUAAGCGUUGAUAUCUGCAAGAACACCAAAGGCGAAGGCAGCUUGCUAGUACGUUUCUGACACUCAUGGACGAAAGCGUGGGGAG